rfam:Salmo salar isolate Sally breed double haploid chromosome ssa01, whole genome shotgun sequence.
UGCAUUCACUACUGUGAGUCGCUCUGGAUAAGAGCGUCUGCUAAAAGACUAAAA